GACAGAGGGUGCAAACGUUGUUCGGAAUUACUGGGCGUAAAGCGCGUGUAGGCGGCUAAGUAAGUCAGGCGUGAAAUCCCACGGCUCAACCGUGGAAGUGCACUCGAAACUGCAUAGCUAGAGUCCUGGAGAGGAAGGUGGAAUGCGUUGGUGUAGAGGUGAAAUUCGUAGAUAGUCAAGCGGAACACCGGUGGCGAAGGCGGCCUUCUG
rnacentral:rRNA from 1 species